CCUACGGGAGGCAGCAGUGGGGAAUAUUGCACAAUGGGGGAAACCCUGAUGCAGCGACGCCGCGUGAGUGAAGAAGUAAUUCGUUAUGGAAAGCUCUAUCAGCAGGGGAGAAAAUGACGGUACGUGAGUAAGAAGCCCCGGCUAACUACGUGCCAGCAGCCGCGGUAAUACGUAGGGGGCCAGCGUUAUCCGGAUUUACUGGGUGUAAAGGGAGCGUAGACGGCAGUGCAAGUCUGGAGUGAAAGGCGGGGGCUCAACCCCCGGACUGCAGUGGAAACUGUACGGCUGGAGUGCAGGAGAGGUAGGUGGAAUUCGUAGUGUAGCGGUGAAAUGCGUAGAUAUUAGGAAGAACACCAAUGGCGAAGGCAGCUUACUGGAGUGUAACUGACGUUGAGGCUCGAAAGCGUGGGGAGCAAACAGGAUUAGAUACCCUGGUAGUC
rnacentral:rRNA from 1 species